rnacentral:rRNA from 1 species
GAUGAACGCUGGCGGCGUGCCUAAUACAUGCAAGUCGAGCGAACGGACGAGAAGCUUGCUUCUCUGAUGUUAGCGGCGGACGGGUGAGUAACACGUGGAUAACCUACCUAUAAGACUGGGAUAACUUCGGGAAACCGUAGCUAAUACCGGAUAAUCUUUUGAACCGCAUGGUUCAAAAGUGAAAGACGGUCUUGCUAUCACUUAUAGAUGGAUCCGCGCUGCAUUAGCUAGUUGGUAAGGUAACGGCUUACCAAGGCAACGAUGCAUAGCCGACCUGAGAGGGUGAUCGGCCACACUGGAACUGAGACACGGUCCAGACUCCUACGGGAGGCAGCGGUAGGGAAUCUUCCGCAAUGGGCGAAAGCCUGACGGAGCAACGCCGCGUGAGUGAUGAAGGUCUUCGGAUCGUAAAACUCUGUUAUUAGGGAAGAACAUAUGUGUAAGUAACUGUGCACAUCUUGACGGUACCUAAUCAGAAAGCCACGGCUAACUACGU